rnacentral:rRNA from 1 species
AGCGAACGCUGGCGGCAGGCCUAACACAUGCAAGUCGAACGAACUCUUCGGAGUUAGUGGCGGACGGGUGAGUAACACGUGGGAACGUGCCUUUUGGUUCGGAAGAACUCAGGGAAACUUGUGCUAAUACCGAAUGUGCCCUUCGGGGGAAAGAUUUAUCGCCAUUAGAGCGGCCCGCGUCUGAUUAGCUAGUUGGUGAGGUAACGGCUCACCAAGGCGACGAUCAGUAGCUGGUCUGAGAGGAUGACCAGCGACACUGGGACUGAGACACGGCCCAGACUCCUACGGGAGGCAGCAGUGGGGAAUCUUGCGCAAUGGGCGAAAGCCUGACGGAGCCAUGCCGCGUGAAUGAUGAAGGUCUUAGGAUUGUAAAAUUCUUUCACCGGGGACGAUAAUGACGGUACCCGGAGAAGAAGCCCCGGCUAACUUCGUG